ACACAGCCAUGUUCCCUUGUACAGUCAGCAGAGCACUGGAGAGACAGGCAUGACUAUAGCUGCACGUAUGAUAAAUGACAUUAUUGGUGAUUGUUCUAAUGGAUCCCCAGAAAAAUACUUCAGGGGGCGUGUUAAGGGGAAGUGACUCACAGAGACUCAGGUUACCUUUGAUCUUUGAUCGCUCACGGCUAAGUUACUCUGCUCUUCUGAAAAACAUUCCGCCUUCCCACUUAAGUGUCUUUGGGUCAGUAUCUAUGAUUCCCACAUCUAUCGUCUUUUUUUAAAAAAAUGAUUACAGAAGGAGAUUGCAAUUAAUCUUCAAUGGGUAAUCCCUUAAUUCCACCAACAUUUAGUGAAGUUCAAAGCUGUCUGUGGUAGUGUUUCUGGACAGAACUCCAUGGAGUUCCGGACUUUCUAUUUUAGGGGACCUCAAAUACUCUUCCAGGUGUCACACUAAAGCUUUAAGUCAGUUGUAGCAGCUUUUGACACCAGGCUAAUACUAGUUGCUUUGAACUUUGAGUGUCAAAGACAAUACGGCCCAUCCUGCGUAGGUGUUAAAGCACUCUGAAAUCAGAAACAUAUCAUUCCGUACAUUAAUUCUUUAUUGAAAGGGUGGUUCAUAGGUAUUCACAAAAGCAAGUAUUGAACACACUGAGUUUAUUGGUGGGAAAUGACUUUAAAUUCUCGUGCUUUUCAUAAUAUAAAUUUUAUUGCACCCUAAUGUGUAUUAAUGGGAGUUAUUGCAACAUGAGAAAUAAAUAAUUUGAGUAUGAAGUAGUAAGGUAGGCUUUAGAAAAUCCACACAAGGGGAUUGGGGAUUUAGCUCAGUGGUAGAGCACUUGCCUAGCAAGCGCAAGGCCCUGGGUUCGGUCCCCAGCUCCUAAAAAAAAAAAAAAAAGAAAAAAGAAAAAAAAAGAAGAAAACCCAGAAAAUGCACACAAGAUAAGGAGAAAUGUGUGUGUGUGUGUGUGUGUGUGUGUGUGCGCGCGCGAGCAUACACAGACACAUACACACACACCAUUUAAACAUAUGCCAAAGUGUGAACAGUAUUUAUUUUUAAAUAAUAGGUCCAAUGAAUCACACCAGAUAGUAUAAAUUUCAAUAAAAUAUAUGCAUAAGAAAUUGUGGGUUAAUUAAUCAUUUUAUUUAUUUACAUUCCAAAUGUUAUCCCUUCUUGAUUUCCGCUCCCAGAGUUCUUUAACCCAUCCACCAUCCCCUUUGCCUCUGAGAGGGUGUCCCCCAAGACCCUUCUCUGAGGCAUUGAAUCUCUACACGAUUGGGCACAUCCUUUCCCACUGGCUUCAGACCAGGCCAGUCAGUCCUCUCCUACAUUUGUGCCAGGAAACUGUGGGUUUUAUUGAUAUAAGGUUAGUUGGUUAUUGGAAAAGCUUAGUCCUACUUUGAAUGUCCCCGCUGGCCCUAAUUCUGGGUGACUCCUUCUAAAGGAUGCUUCUUUAUAGCAUCACAUAAGGUCAGACCCAGAAAGAAGCACAGAGCUGUCACGUUCACCGUUAAACCGUUGCACGCACGCGCACACGCACGCGCACACAUGCACACGAACGCGCGUGUACGCACACACUAUUUGUUGGGCAAGCGGUUGCUGUGGGUCACCGAGUGAGUUUGGAUCUAAGGCUGUGCUUCCUCUGGAAAUGGUUCCAGUGCGUCCUAGCAAAAUUGAGCCCAAAGAAAACCAUCCUGCUCUUAGCUUUACUCUAUGGAAGAUGUGGGAUCUGCUGCUGCCAAACCGUGGGGGCGUUUAGGGGAGGAACGCGGUUGGUUCUAAAGGGCAAACAUGGCUGGCUGUUCUCUUUCUCUCUACCAGAACACCCUACCCUUCAUUUUUUUCUCAGAAUCUGGCCGUCAGCUCCUGGAGCGAAAGCAUCUGCUCUCAUUUAAAAAUGAGUUACAGAGGAUUAGAUUCAGCUUUAAACAAGAAAGAGAAAAAGAGAAAAAAAAACCCAAAACCUUAAAUUUUGGGAAAAGCUUUGUUUAAUCACAUCAAGUCUGUGUCACAAGCUGAAGAAUGCCAGGAAAUUCCAAGCUAAAGGCAAAUAUUUCAUCCACAACUCAUUCCACGAGGCUUAUUUUAUUUAGUCUUUCAUCUGUCUGCAAACAGUGGGUUAAACAUCAGAAAAACUCUGAUUUUUUUUUUGGUCAUGUCAAUUCAUGUCAUAACCUUGGCAUUGUUCUCUAAUUUAAUAAAAAUAUGAGAUUAAACUGAUCCUGUUCUCCUAUUUCUCGUUAGUGCUGAACAAGCACUUUUGGCACUCGCAAUUCAAAUCUUUGGCGAGUCGCUCGGUGCCUGGGUAUGUUUGCCUAUGAGGUAAAGUGUCUUGACCUGUCAUAUGUUUCUGAGGCCUGAGAAAGAAAUAAUUUCAACAUUCUUGCUCUUAGUCCAUAUAUAUAAAUCUAUCCUCAAGGGCAUGUCUGCAGCUCUGAACUUAACACAAAUCCACGAGGAACAAAAACGGCCUGGAAGAGUGGGGGAAAAAAUCACAAAGGCCCAGAAGAGACGGGUGCUAAAUCUUUGCUUUGUGGUCAGCCAUGGGUGCCGUGUUUCAUAAGUGAGAGGAGGAAUGUCUGUGGCUCCCUUUUGGAUGUGAAAACUGUUCAUUUUUCAAUUGGAAUACUCUGAACUUCUGUAUACUUUUAAAGCUGUACAUAAUAAAAACGUACUGCCUGCCCCAGAUGGCAUGGUCCACUUCAUCUAGAACUUGAUAAAAACCUUGAUCACUUUGACGAGUUGAGAACAAAGGAGAGAAAGGAAACUGCCAAAGAGAUAGCCUUUUUCCCACUGCAGGUGCAGUGAGACAUUGCAUCCUGCUGCCAUGACUUCCCACAGGAAAAACUGGUCUUGGAACUAUUUUCCUGAGGAAAUGUACAGAAAUCAUUCCGAUCCUGUCUUCUGAUGAACACCGUGAACAGAAUGGAAAGAUAUGCAUCACACAUUUACCAUGCCAUGAAAGGACCCACAAUGGGACAAUGUGACGGCUGCCUGGGACAUGAUAAAUAGUGGAUCCUUAGGGUCAACAUCUUUCUUUGUUUAAAUUCAGCACAGUAUUCGAUGUAUGAGACAGUGCGUUCAAAAGUUCAUAUGACUCAGUACACAAAUGAACUGGUUUGUUUGGGUUCAUUCAGUGUCUGGGAGGGAGUUAUCCCUUUAAGUGUUACUAAAUUAGAGUUCAAUUUGGCAAGUGAGAAUUUUUUUUUUUACGGAAAUAGAUAUCUACUCAGUUUGGACUGGCUCGUGCAUUUUUCCCCCCAAAAGCUGGCUCACAUCUCAAAUUUUCAAAAGUAAAAGAAAGCUGCAGUUCUUCAGGAAUGUGUGUCUUUCCCUCUGAUGAUUUAUAGCACGUGCUAAAACGAAUCCUGAGAUGCUGGGAACUGAAGCAUGAAAAGAACAGGAGCUUACCUGCAGCCUCUGUCCCAGUGAAGGCAAACCGUGAGCUUUUCCUCUACCGUGAAACACCUUUUAAUGACACGAUAACCCAUUCCUUUCAAAAUGUCACUUUGGCAUAGAUUUUUCUCUCACUAAAACAUGUUUUUCUUUUGCAUUCUUUUAUGAACUAUGCUUGCCAUUCAAAAUUCUAAAAAUGAUGAAAAGUUCUGUCAAAUUAUAUCAAAACAAGAGAAAAAUUUUCGGUUAGUAGCCUGUCUUUCCUCAAAAGUAUUAUAAGAUCCAUUCAAAUUAAAACUUUUCUCAAACAUAUAAAAAAAUAAAAAAAACCCAACCAACCAACCAACCAACGGUUACUCAUUUGUCUCCUCUAUUCCCCCACUCUUUUCCUGCUUUAAUUCUGGAUGAUCCUGUUCUCUUCGAAAAUAUGCAAUUGAACUUUAAUUGUUCUGCUCUCUUUGAUGAGUUUAAUCCAAAGUAGAAGAAGCAGCUGGGACCUCUUCGCUCACUUCGUUAUUGAAGUUCACGUACUGUAUGACGUUGCACAACUGCUGCCAGUCAACCUUUCCAGAAAUCCGUUGCUAUUUUUCUUAGCACAGGUUUGUUUUUUAAUGAGCAUCAGCUAUCAACUAAUUCAUUUACAUUCAAUUACAAUUCCUCAUGUUGACAGAGGAACAAAACCAUAAAACCCAAUGUCCAGCAUCUUCAGGGAACACAGUCUAGAACUGUGUUCUCUACCAUAACAGGACACAGCAUCUUCUCCCUAAAGUAGAGGCUCUAGGCAAAGCAUAGUCAUACCCUGCCUGGUAUGUGAUAGGCUCUUGAAACAUGAGUUCCAUUCCUU